rnacentral:rRNA from 1 species
AGUUCGGAUUGUAGUCUGNAACCCGACUACAUGAAGCUGGAAUCGCUAGUAAUCGCGAAUCAGAAUGUCGCGGUGAAUACGUUCCCGGGUCUUGUACACACCGCCCGUCACACCAUGGGAGUCGGUAACACCCGAAGUCGGUAGCCUAACCGUAAGGAGGGCGCCGCCGAAGGUGGGAUUGAUGACUGGGGUGAAGUCGUAACAAGGUAUC